GGGUCGGUAGCUCAGUUGGUUAGAGCGCACGCCUGAUAAGCGUGAGGUCGGAGGUUCAAAUCCUCCUCGACCCA
rfam:Loktanella cinnabarina LL-001 DNA, contig: LCI114.